AGGAAAGAAGGUGCGUACCUUGACGUCCGUGUUCUUCAUUCCAGGAACAUCAGCGACGAAAACAUACGACGCUGGGAGUUCUUUCACGUCGACGGAGGUGCUUGCCAUCGCUUACUUCUUUUUCUUCUGCGGAGGUAAAAAAAAGCUUCUUUUCAAGUUUCUAGCACGCAGGAAAGAAAGAACUUACGUCUCUUGGGCUUGUAGUUGCGAAGGAGGCCUCAAAGUCGGCGAGGUCCCUUGGAGACAAGGCAACCGGCGCAGGAGGAUCGACGUACUUGGUGUAGUCGAGGGUGAUCUGCGUGAGCACGAGAGACGGCUGCCUCUUCGGCUUGGGUGGCGGUCUCCUGGGCGGCGAUGGAGGCUGGAGCUUUCCAACGAAAACACCGCAAGUGGUGUCCCGGUCGUAGAUGGAGCGGUAAUCGACGUGAGCGUCGCGGUUCCAGAUGGGCCGCUUGAAAUUUUGGACUAGAACUGGAGGUACACAGUUCUUGUGACCGUAUUUGUUCGGCUUUUCUUGAUGCUGCUGCUGUUCCUGCGGAUGAUUUUGCUGCUCUUGAUCUUGCUGCUGCUUUUCAGGAUCGGCGUGAAGUGAAUCGCUUGCUGCAGCCUCGACUUGGACCGGAACCUCGCUCGCAGGCUCCGUGAUGAGAAUGGAACUGCGAUGAUUUCCAGUAAAACCGGUACGUCACCUUUGGACUCUCACCGGUCGCGACUGUUGCCAUUUUGACCGCUGACAAAC
rnacentral:lncRNA from 1 species